rnacentral:rRNA from 1 species
GUCUAUGGCCAUGCCGACCUGAACAAGCCCAAUCCCGUCUGAUCUUGGAAACUAAGCAGGGUCAGGCCUGAUUAGUACUUGGAUAGGAGACCACCUAGGAAAACUAGGUGUUGUAGGUG